UUUCUCUUUAAUUUUAUUAAGCGAAUUGCAUUUGAUUUUGCAUAAAAUUUGUAACAGUUCAUUGUAUACAAAUCAGAUAGAAGAAGGACAGGCAGCAGCGAAACAGAGAAAGGAAAACAAAACAAAAUUGAAAACUGUAUUUUAUAAUUAAAUACUAACAUUAUAUUUCGUAAAUGGAAAAAAAAACAACCCAAAUUUCAAGCAGGUGUCAACUUUAGCCCACCUUUUAAAAACAAAAAUCAACAACAACAACAACAACCUAUAAGUAGAUUAAAAAACUACAACUAAACUUAAAAACCUCACUUAAAACUAACCUAAAAGAAAGGCGAAAUCAACUAAAAAGAAAAAUAAAUCAAAAACACAAAAAAAAAAACAACACUAAAAAUGAAUGUAAUGAAACGUAAAUACCAUAAAUUAUACAACACUCAAGUGUUCAAUUCGAGGGUCGAAAUAAGAGUUUUCCAUAGGUGUAUAUAUACACACAGACACACACACAUGAGGUCUCACACAAGCACACAUACAUAUGUAUUUUAUUUGUACUCUCUGUGUAUAACAGCUAAGAAACAACUGUUAUACCUGCCAAGUCGAGCCAGCGAUGAGACGCAGACAACUUUGUAGUAUAACUUAACUGAAAAAAAAAAACGAAACAAAAAGAAUAUUAAAAUACACACACACACACACACACACAUACACAUAUAUAGUCCUACGAAUAUAUAGUUUAUAUUUAAGUUGUGUCUCUCACCUAAAUGCCAAGCAAGCAAUGUUAGUGUACAGCUGUGUAUAAUAGUUUUCGAGAAUUGAGAAUUUGAGAUUACGAGUAUAUUAUAUAUGAAACUGAAUUGUUACUAUUGUUUGAGCGAGAGAGGAGGAGAAAGAGUCCACGAUAGAUAGAUAGAGCGAGAGAGAGAGAGAGUAGAGGAGGAGAUGAGAGGAGAGCAUUGUAAUCUGUUUGCCUUGAAACAAAAACAAAAAAUAACGGUGCUGAAAUGUUAAUUUUUAUAUAACGAAAAAAACAAGCAACAAGUGUUACAUAAAAGUGUUAUAUUAAAAGAAAAGUUAUAAAAAAAUGAUGAAGAUAGAAUCGAGAAACGUUAACAAGCUGUUAUAUAAAUCACAACAUAUGUAUACACACACACAUAUAUAUAUAUGUAUAACACAUUACAAUAUGCGGCCCCAUUUCAGGCCGAAAUGCGGGCCAAAUGUUAUUUCAUUCAUAGUUUAAAUGUUGGCGUUUCGUACAUACAUCAAUGUACAUUAAUUAAUGUACCGAACUUGUCAUUAUUAUUUCCCCAUACGUUUUCUUUCCUAUAAUUUACACAGCAAACAUAAACUAGAUGUAUAUGCCUAUACAUACAAAUAUAUAGUGUAAAACAGUUAAUUUUCCAUAGCUGCUAAAAUCGUAACUGAAGUAACUGAAUCGGAG